rnacentral:lncRNA from 1 species
GGAUGUUAAGCAUUCUCAGCACAGAAUUAUAACUAUGAGAGGUAGUGCAUUUUAGUGAGGUUUAACCAUUCUACGAUGGUUAUGUACUUUAAAACAGUAUAUUGUACCUGAUAACUAUGUGCAAUGGUAUUAAACUUUUAGAAGUAAUAAAUACAUUUGAAAAAAACAUAAAAAUUAAUAAAGAGAUAAAUUAUAGGGAUAUAGUAGAGAAUAAGAUAAGCAAAGUGCUCCUACAGGACUUCAAGGCUGGUAACCAAAUGCUGUACCACCUCAAGGACUGGAGAGUGCUCUGUGCAUAGUCUGCGGACAAGAAAUGCUUACUUUUGGGUCACAGAGCCCACACUCCUUUCAGUGAUUGCCCAGAGCAGAGAGAAUGUUGUCUGUACAUAUCCAUACCUUACUCCCCUGUUUCAUUCUGUUCUCCUGCUGUGAAAUAAAAAGGCGGAUGAAUAAAAGUCUUCUGGCAAAGUCCAAGCAGGUCAGCCUCCUGCACCACAAAGCAGAAUUGAUCUGGAGGACACAAGGAGUGUAUGCAGAAGCACCAUUUUGGGAUCAUGUUGGCUGAAGCAAAUAAUUGUAACAGCACUCAAGAAAUGAAUGAAUACCACAGGGAAGAGUUUCAAACCAUCCCUGCCCCUGACAACCUUUGCUGUCCUUUGAAAAAUAUGACAUCUUCGACACCAUUUUUGGAAUUAACAUGUUUUUGGAAUUCUGAACAUCAUUUCCUGGUGGGUAGAAAAGGAGAGGUGGCCUCAAAAAUGCUGGCUCUACCCACAGAAAUAUUUUCCAAAGAACUGUAGAAUCGAUCUGGAUCACACUGCAUAGCGAGUACAAGACAGGUGUCAGCAUCUCAGACCUACCUGAACCAUUGCAGCAACAUUGACAGAUGAGCGUACAGAAGAAUGUUCAGUUGAAGGUUGCUUCAGAAAGGAAAAGCACUAUGGGGAUUAAAAAAGUCAUAACUGAAUGAAACGAAAGGUAAUUUGAGUCAUCACAGUUUGAAAGAAAAAAAAAAUCUGAAUCCAGUUGAACCUGUCUAGCUUCUCUUUUGAAACAAAAAUUACAUCUUCAAAACAUUAUUAGUUUAUCAC